GGCCGGUUAGCUCAGUGGUUUGAGCAUGGUGCUGACAACAAUGACAACACCAAGGUCGCGGGUUCGAUUCCUGCUCGGUCC
rnacentral:tRNA from 1 species